AUAUGGAAGUGAAUAAUUAGAUAUGUUUUAUGAUGCUCAUAUAUUUGUGGGUUUUAAAAAGAUAUAAAGACCAACAGGCCAUUUGUUAUGCAGUUGGUUUUGCUUGAGACAAGACAUCUUUCAUUCAUUCGUUUUCAGUUCUGUGAAAGACCGUGUGUGUAGUUGUUUACCUAUGAAUGUUGCCGAAUGGGAUGUACGGAAACGACAUCGGGUGAAAGACAACAAGCGGCUUCACAUUCCUGAAGGUUUGAAAAAAUAAAGUGACUCCUGUUCAUCCCCAAGCAGAAGAUGGGCUGUCAGCUGGCAAAAAAAAGUGUGCAUGAUAUUUGCAGAUGAUGGAGCACCAUCUCAAAAGGAAGUCAUGCCUGCCAUGCCUGCCUCCAAAGAGUCUUGCGAGGAAGAGCCAAAGAAGAGAUGUAUUAGAAUCACCCAGGAAAAUAAACUGUUCAAGUAGGUGUCCUCGUUAAUAUCAGAAUUUCCUUGUGAUUAAUAAUGAGUGUGGCACUGUGCAAGUCCUUACUGCAAGCAUGUGGUGUCAGCUCAGGUGGUGGCCCUCCCGAGUGACUCAGAAAAGGAUGUGCAUCUUAGCACAGAA